GUGCCAGCAGCCGCGGUAAUACGAAGGGGGCUAGCGUUGCUCGGAAUCACUGGGCGUAAAGGGUGCGUAGGCGGGUCUUUAAGUCAGAGGUGAAAGCCUGGAGCUCAACUCCAGAACUGCCUUCGAUACUGUACGGCUCGAGACCGGAAGAGGUCAGUGGAACUGCGAGUGUAGAGGUGAAAUUCGUAGAUAUUCGCAAGAACACCAGUGGCGAAGGCGGCUCACUGGCCCGAUACUGACGCUGAGGCACGAAAGCGUGGGGAGCAAACAGGAUUAGAUACCCCGGUAGUCC
rnacentral:rRNA from 1 species